AUUCAUCUGAUGAGUCCCAAAUAGGAUGAAAUACGCGACCUGGAU
rnacentral:hammerhead_ribozyme from 1 species